GUUUGAUCCUGGCUCAGGAUGAACGCUAGCGGCAGGCUUAACACAUGCAAGUCGAGGGGUAUAGUUCUUCGGAAUUAGAGACCGGCGCACGGGUGCGUAACGCGUAUGCAAUCUACCUUUCACAGAGGGAUAGCCCAGAGAAAUUUGGAUUAAUACCUCAUAGUAUAUAGACCUGGCAUCAGGAUUAUAUUAAAGUCACAACGGUGAAAGAUGAGCAUGCGUCCCAUUAGCUAGUUGGUAAGGUAACGGCUUACCAAGGCUACGAUGGGUAGGGGUCCUGAGAGGGAGAUCCCCCACACUGGUACUGAGACACGGACCAGACUCCUACGGGAGGCAGCAGUGAGGAAUAUUGGACAAUGGGCGCAAGCCUGAUCCAGCCAUGCCGCGUGCAGGAUGACGGUCCUAUGGAUUGUAAACUGCUUUUGCACAGGAAGAAACAACUCUACGUGUAGAGUCUUGACGGUACUGUGAGAAUAAGGAUCGGCUAACUCCGUGCCAGCAGCCGCGGUAAUACGGAGGAUCCAAGCGUUAUCCGGAAUCAUUGGGUUUAAAGGGUCCGUAGGCGGUUUAGUAAGUCAGUGGUGAAAGCCCAUCGCUCAACGGUGGAACGGCCAUUGAUACUGCUAGACUUGAAUUAUUAGGAAGUAACUAGAAUAUGUAGUGUAGCGGUGAAAUGCUUAGAGAUUACAUGGAAUACCAAUUGCGAAGGCAGGUUACUACUAAUGGAUUGACGCUGAUGGACGAAAGCGUGGGUAGCGAACAGGAUUAGAUACCCUGGUAGUCCACGCCGUAAACAAUGGAUACUAGCUGUUGGGCGCAAGUUCAGUGGCUAAGCGAAAGUGAUAAGUAUCCCCACCUGGGGAGUACGUUCGCAGAAUGAAACUCAAAGGAAUUGACG
rnacentral:rRNA from 1 species